rnacentral:lncRNA from 1 species
UUUUUGGUAAAGAAAGCGGCAACGAUAUGGUAAAAUGUAGAAGAAAGCGACACAAGUACAUGAUGAGGGAGGAGCUGAUACAGAAAUAUAAAGAACAAAAGAACCCCUCCCUCAGAACAAGAGUCUGGAAAAACAAAAAUAGGUGCAGCACCAAACAAGGAAAAUAGAACACAGCUCUUUGUAUAGGUGAUUCAAAACCAUAAGAUGAGGCGACGCGUUCCAGA